UAGGUGACUUGGACUAUAAACCAAUAAGACAGGAGCGAGAUCUCUGACAGAGAACCUAAUUUUCUCCAUGUGUGGCUCAUCCGCUCCCAUUGGUGGAGCCAGACAUUAGCACCGACAUCCAAAGUCUUGGUCAUCGCUCCAUAGCCAUAACGUCCUCCCUUCACUGGGAAUACACUGACUGAGCUGCAUGUAUUGGAUGAGAACCUUAACAAUGUUCUACCAUAACAGCUGCCAGAGACACCAAAACCACCAAAAUCUCCACCCCAACCUCCCAGCCAAAAAACAGGCCAGAUUCUCCUCCACCUCCAUCCCCCAGACUUUCUAUGAAGAGUCAAGCCCCCCCACCAACUGUAGCAACUCAAAGAAAGAGAGAAGCCCCUCAACCACUGAAAGGCAGCUUUGUGCUCAAUCACAUCAUCAGCAGGAGCUCCACCCACAUUGCAUUUUUUAUGUAUUCACUUGACUCCGUCUUGCCUAUUAUUUUCUCACGUAAGGUCAUUACGCUGAUAUGGCAGCUGCAGUUUUCAUUUUGCUUUCUUUAGUGGAUUUUUAUUUCUAUGCUUGGGGUGACCCCUCUGUGGAACUCUCAGUGGUUCCCAGUGAGGAGAAAUCAGAACUUCAGAAGCUUCUGUGUACUGGAACUGGAUUUGACCUGGAGAUCAAAUGGCUCCCCAACUCUGGGAAUACAACUGGUGCCUCUAGUAAAGUCAUGAUGGAUGCAGAUGGCCAUGUGAAAGUGUCCAAUGAGAUAGAAGUGGCUCUGGAAGAGUGGAACAAAGGGGAGGAAUUUUUCUGCCAGGUCACUGAUCUUCAGGAAACGGUGGAGAAGAGCGCCCGUAUUUGUGCAGCUCAUCCAUCAGCACCACUGAUACAUCUGGAGAAACCUCGUCUCUUCAAUCCAUCCCUUCAGCCACAUUUAGCAGUAACAGCUUCUUGUGUUGUUGAAGCUGCGCCCAACUCCAGAGUUUCAUGGGUUUUGAGUGGAAACGUAGAGAAGAAAGCCAGUAAAGAGACGAAAGGGGAACAACUCAGCAGCAACACUCGGCUCUUUGUCAGCAAACUGACUCUGCCAGCAAGAGAAUGGGAACAACAUCAGAAUGUAACAUGCAGAGUUAAACAGCCCUGUGACGAUCUUCCUGAGGAGAAAACUGUUAAUAUUCUAGCAAACUAUUUACCAACUGUCCAUCUGGUGGAAUUUGGCCAAACCGUAACAUGUGUCAUCGAAGACUUCUACCCAAAAGACAUCCGUAUCAAAUGGAAAAAGAAUGACCGUGAAGUCAGAGGUCGAGACUGGAUAUCUACAGAAAAUGACUCUGGUUUUUACAGAGCGGUCAGUGUCCUUGAAGCAGAUCUGACCCCUUCAAGCCCGGGAACCAAAUACACCUGUGAAGUCACACACGGGGGCAGAACAUACACAGAAAGUCUGUCAUCUAGAGAUCACUUCUCUCUGAAAAUCAAUCCACCACAAGCAAAGGACCUUUUUAUAAACAGAAAAGCAGUAAUGGAGUGUGUCUUAACUGGUGAUAAUCAGAAGGAGGUGGAAGGAGCAACAGUGUCAUGGACAGUUGGAGGUCGGAGACCAGCAGCUCAUGAUGUUCUUAAUGGUCAUAUUAAACAGACAGGAUCAUCAUUUACCAAAACUAGCACACUGACCCUUGAAGAGUCCGUCUGGUUUUCAGGCGCAGAAGUGAUUUGCUCCACCUCAAGAGACCAAACAACAACCUCUGACAAAAUCAGUGUUAAAAAAGGCGAAACCCCCUCUGUAGUCAUUUACAAGCCUCAUAAGUCUGUCCUUGUCACUGACAUGGUGUCCCUGGUUUGUGAGAUCAGCAGCUCUGAUCUCACGAACGUGUAUGUCAUGUGGCAAGUAAACGGUGGACAGUACAUAGAAGGCCACAGCAUGACCAGCAUGAAAAAGGACAACACACUGACUGUCCUCAGCUACUUAACCGUGCCUGGACAGCAGUACAACCGGUCGGAAUUCGCUUGCGCAGUCAAACAUGCCAACAUGGAGAACAGCUACACACUGACAACAAGGACAACAUCCAUGCGUAAAGCCAAGUGCCAGGCACCUGCAAUAAUGAAUAUUAAAAUUAGAGUGUAAAAUCUGUCCCUACACUUUAGACACUGGCCUCUCCGUAUGUCCUGGAUGGACGUUGUUCUGGUCUUUUGCUUCCUCUGUUUUUGCUCUUGAUCUGCUUGUAUACGUUGCUACAUGUUGCCUUCUGGGUCAAACUUCUCAGGUUAAAAUUGGAUUUAAUGUUCCCAAGCAUUUAUGGGGACUUGGUAGAUGAUCAGGAUUGACCCUCAGUAAUAUGAGCUUAUUGUCACAUAUGCCUAUAUUAUUAUUAUUAUUAUUAUUAUUAUCAUUUUUGCAACGCUUGAAACAAUAAAUACAUAUAAUUGCAUUUGA